rnacentral:sRNA from 1 species
CCCUUCCUCCCUAGAGCUCGGUCGGUCGAAGAGGACCAGUCUUCGGUCAAGGGUAUACGAGAAGCUGCGCUCCCCUGCUAGAACCUCCAAACAAGCUCUCGAGGUCCAUAUCAGAAGUUUUUCUAAGC